AACGAACGCUGGCGGCAGGCCUAAUACAUGCAAGUCGAACGGUGUAGCAAUACACAGUGGCGCACGGGUGCGUAACACGUAUGCAACCUACCUAUUAUUGGGGGAUAGCCUUUGGAAACGGAGAUUAAUACCGCAUAAGACAGUGACAUGGCAUCAUGUAGCUGUUAAAGCUUCGGCGAUAAUAGAUGGGCAUGCGUCCAAUUAGUUAGUUGGUGAGGUAAUGGCUCACCAAGACGAUGAUUGGUAGGGGAUCUGAGAGGCUAAUCCCCCACACUGGCACUGAGAUACGGGCCAGACUCCUACGGGAGGCAGCAGUAGGGAAUAUUGGGCAAUGGGCGGAAGCCUGACCCAGCCAUGCCGCGUGCAGGAUGACGGCGUUAUGCGUUGUAAACUGCUUUUUUAUAGGAAGAAGAAGCCCUUGCGAGGGAAAGUGACGGUACUAUAAGAAUAAGCACCGGCUAACUCCGUGCCAGCCGCCGCAGUAAGAC
rnacentral:rRNA from 1 species